UACGAAGGGGGCUAGCGUUGUUCGGAAUGACUGGGCGUAAAGGGCGCGUAGGCGGCGAUGUAAGUCAGGCGUGAAAGCCCCGGGCUCAACCUGGGAACGGCGCUUGAUACUGCGUUGCUUGAGGACGGGAGAGGAUGGUGGAAUUCCCAGUGUAGAGGUGAAAUUCGUAGAUAUUGGGAAGAACACCGGUGGCGAAGGCGGCCAUCUGGACCGUUUCUGACGCUGAGGCGCGAAAGCGUGGGGAGCAAACAGGAUUAGAUACCCUGGUAGUCCACGCUGUAAACGAUGUGUGCUAGACGUUGGGGGUUUAAGCCUCCGGUGUCGCAGCCAACGCGUUAAGCACACCGCCUGGGGGGUACGGCCGCAAGGUUAAA
rnacentral:rRNA from 1 species